rnacentral:rRNA from 1 species
GAACUGAAACAUCUAAGUACCCCGAGGAAAAGAAAUCAACCGAGAUUCCCCCAGUAGCGGCGAGCGAACGGGGAGCAGCCCAGAGCCUGAAUCAGUGUGUGUGUUAGUGGAAGCGUCUGGAAAGGCGUGCGAUACAGGGUGACAGCCCCGUACACAAAAAUGCACAUACUGUGAGCUCGAUGAGUAGGGCGGGACACGUGGUAUCCUGUCUGAAUAUGGGGGGACCAUUCUCCAGGGCUAAUGACUCCUGACUGA